rnacentral:tRNA from 1 species
GCGGUGGUAGCUCAGUUGGUAGAGCACCGGAUUGUGAUUCCGGUGGUCGUGGGUUCGAUCCCCAUCCAUCGCCCCA